rnacentral:rRNA from 1 species
GGGUCAGUAGGUUGGUCGUGCCACCGGUACGUACUGGUCUCACUGAUUCCUCCUUCCUGAAGAACCGUAAUGCCAUUAAUUUGGUGUUGCGGGGAAACAGGACUGUUACUUUGAAGAAAUUGGAGUGUUUAAAGCAAGCUAACGCUUGAAUACAUUAGCAUGGAAUAAUGAAAUAGGACGAUCGAUCCUAUUUUGUUGGUUUCUAGGAUUGACGUA